GACGAACGCUGGCGGCGUGCCUAAUACAUGCAAGUCGAACGAGUGGCGGACGGGUGAGUAACACGUGGGAACCUACCCAUCAGAGGGGGAUAACUACGGGAAACUGUAGCUAAUACCGCGUACCAUAGGAUGAGCCCAAGUGGGAUUAGGUAGUGGGUGAGGAAAAGGCUCACCAAGCGGACGAUCUCUAGCUGGUCUGAGAGGAGGACCAGCCAAACUGGGACUGAGACAGGGCCCAGACUCCUACGGGAGGCAGCAGUGGGGAAUAUGGCGCAAGGGUGGCAACCUGACGCAGCCAUGCCGCGUGAAUGAAGAAGGCCUUCGGGUUGUAAAGUUCUUUCGGUAGCGAGGCGUUAACUACAGAAGAAGCACCGGCUAACUCCGUGCCAGCAGCCGCGGUAUUC
rnacentral:rRNA from 1 species